rnacentral:rRNA from 1 species
GACGAACGCUGGCGGCGUGCUUAACACAUGCAAGUCGAACGGAAAGGCCCUGCUUUUGUGGGGUGCUCGAGUGGCGAACGGGUGAGUAACACGUGAGUAACCUGCCCCUGACUUUGGGAUAACUUCAGGAAACUGGGGCUAAUGCCGGAUAGGAGCUCCUGCUGCAUGGUGGGGGUUGGAAAGUUUCGGCGGUUGGGGAUGGACUCGCGGCUUAUCAGCUUGUUGGUGGGGUAGUGGCUUACCAAGGCUUUGACGGGUAGCCGGCCUGAGAGGGUGACCGGCCACAUUGGGACUGAGAUACGGCCCAGACUCCUACGGGAGGCAGCAGUGGGGAAUAUUGCACAAUGGGCGGAAGCCUGAUGCAGCAACGCCGCGUGCGGGAUGACGGCCUUCGGGUUGUAAACCGCUUUCGCCUGUGACGAAGCGUGAGUGACGGUAAUGGGUAAAGAAGCACCGGCUAACUACGUG